ACCUCCCCUCCUGGGGAGGGAAACUGACUCCUCCACUCGAGGCCGGACCAGGAGCUGCUCCACCACGAGACACCAUUAUGCAGUGGAAGACUGAGCACUUUCCCCUGUGAUCCAGAAGUGCAUUUUGCCUCCUGCCAUCAUUCUGAAGCCUCCUCAGCCAUGUGGAACUGUCUUGGGAUUAUUAGUGAAAUGAAAGAAGUUAAGAGCAAAAACAAUUCUUGAAAAGUAACUCCUGACACGAUCUGAGAUUUACGCUUGAAAGUGUGAGUGGAAGAAAAAACUGGUGAGCCAUCAUUGUGCAAAUGCAGUGCUGCCUGUAGAAAUGCUAUAUAUGCAAACCAUGUCCCAUGCUAUGUAUAUUUGGGAGGGUAAAGGCAAAAGCCUAAGGAAAUAUUCUUAGGGAAGUUAUAUCAAGCCCAAGAGCAGAUAUCUAUCUGUUCUUCAAAUCCUAACAGAAAGAAGAGAGUUUAGCCCUAUGUAUGGAAAUGGAAUUCUUGAUGGAAUUGGGUAAGUGCAAUCAAUACUCAUAAUUAAAGGAGAGCACUUCAGACAGUUGCAUCUAGUGUGAUGCAGUUCCUUGAGGACAGGCAAACUCAGAAGCAGGCUAUUAUUGACAAGAGUAAGCUACAUUUCUGAAAUUCUUAAAAGCUUGAAGAUGUUUUUACAAGAAAAAGACAAUCCUUUGGAG
rnacentral:lncRNA from 1 species